rnacentral:rRNA from 1 species
CCUAUUAUUAUGAGUGUUAAUGUUUUUACCUGAGUAGUAUUAGUUGUGUUCUUGAAACUUAAAGAAUUUGGCGGUAUCCUACUCCAUUCAGAGGAAUCUGUCUCGUUAUCGAUAGUCCGCGUUGGACCUUACUUAGGAUUAAAUUUUGGUUUGUAUACCGCCGUUUAUUGAUUAUCUUUUUAGAGUUAUCUGAAUUUUCUGGUUUCUUUAAUUUGAUUUAUUGCAGGUCAAGGUGCAGCUUUUUUUAAGUGUAAUGAUGGAUUACAGUGUUAUGUGUUGUUUGGAUUGUUUUUUUAAAUAUUGGCAUGAAAUUGGAUUUGGUUGUAAUGUUUUGUAGAUUGUUUUCAUGAUAAUUGGUUCUAGGAUAUGUACACAUCGCCCGUCGCUCUCAUUUAAUUUGUUGAUGA